GUCCUUAUAGUAUAACAAUUACUCUGACCUUGUAAGCCAGAAAUGGGUAGAAAUACCCUAAGGACA
rnacentral:tRNA from 1 species